rfam:Clostridium carboxidivorans P7 ctg00245, whole genome shotgun sequence.
AUAACCUUUAAAACUAAUCCAGAGAGAUUAGAAAGGCAAAUUGAAGAAAAAAGUAUAAUCAAAAUGUAUGCAGAAACCAUGCCUUCCUUAUCUUUAAAGGAAAGGCAUUUUUUUAU